ACAGCUGCUCACACAAAAUCCCUUUUCUCCUCUGAUGGGUCUCUUGCUGUGAAUAUCCAUGCUCAUGUCAGCUGUGUGCAGGGAGGAAUUAUGAGUUUCCCUUUUCCUAUCACUUACCUAGCUCCUUUGUUUUACCAACAUAGAUUGUGCUUACAUUCUAGUACAGACUGGAGAUACCAAUGUUAGCUUAAAAGGAAUUAGCUCAGCCAUUUCUUUACUUUGCUAAAAUCUGUCCUGUAAACAUGCCAGGCUGCAGGCUCUUGAGAGUGGGACUGUUAACAGCUUUGUUUUUACAUUGUUUAGUACAACAGGGCCAAAGAAUAGAUGCUUUGGGUGCCCCUGGAGUUCCAAUAAUUUUCACAGUGACCCAGAGGGAGAAGAAAGGUCAGACUCAGGGGAACACUCGGCAUCGUUUCUGGAGCAUUUUCAGGGGUGGCUGCUAAUGGUAAUGAUGAUGCUGAGCUCUCUCAUAAUUUUAUACUUUCAAAGGUACUUCAAGCCAAUUUAGAAUCAAGAUUUGACCUGCAGAGCUUCAAUUCUUGUGAGCUGAUAAGACAAACCUCCCAGGCUGAGUGGAUUUUAUGGCCUCCUCAGUGCGUGGGUUUGAUGGAGAGAGGGUGAUGCAGACUCAC
rnacentral:lncRNA from 1 species